rnacentral:lncRNA from 1 species
AUUUAUGUAGAUGAUUCAACAACCUAAAUUGUUAUUUAAAAUUCAGUUAAUUUAUUUUCAGUUUAUCUAUUUUAUUCUUGUAAUUUUCAUUCCACAAUUAAUUUAUAUGUUAUUAUAUAGCUGGUUCUAAAAUACCGUCUACAUCGUUAUAUUUUGUUAAUUGUUUCCUUUAAUUACUUUGUUUAUAUGGCUGGUUUAACCGCCUAAUAUUUUCAUUUCAGUUAAUUAAAUUUCAAUUUGUUUAUUUUUAUUUUGCAUUUAUUUAUUUUUAAUUUCUAUACAUUUAUUUGCUUAUUUAAUUUUUAGUUUGUUUUUAAUUGUGCAAUUUUCAUUUUGUAUUUUAUGCAUCACUCAUUUGUUUAACACACAUCAUUAGCAUUGCAUGCGAUGUUGGUCUCGUACAGACAGUAGCAAACUAAUUAAGAGAUUAUCUUCGCCACCCUUAGACAUGGCCGACAUUGGAGCUGAUAAUGUUUCAAAGCACAGAGAUAACAAAGCCUUAUAAAAUCUUCAUGAACAGCUGUUGGAUAUAAAUUCAAAUGCUAUUGGUGUCAAUGUGCAAGUGUACAAAACAAGUAAUAUAAUGAUGAGUAUUUAAGAUCGUCUCCAUGAGGAUUGAUGUUAUUGGAUUUGCUACAACAAUUUUAGUAGUGUAGAUUUUGUUCUAAAUUAAAAGAAAAUAAUUAAUGAAACUAAUAUACUAAUUAAAAUAAAAAUGCAAUAAAUAAAAUACAACAAAGUUAAUUAUGACGUCAAACUCAAGGAUAAAACCAAUGGAAAUAUAGAGUAGUUGAGUGAAUAAACUUUCUUAAUGGUUUUGACUAUUUUUCUAAUGUUUGGCUCGGUUGCUACAACAUCUGCUACAGCACUGGGUAGAAUCCUUAUGUAUCCUCAGCUGUCGCAUGUUGGAUAUCUUAUAUCUAUAUGCAACCUAAUAGCCACCAUAAGAUAUAACAUAGCACGCUUAAGUUCUAUUUACCCUACAAGGUGAAUCCAUAUAUUUAGUUCAUCACUGAUUUUAGAUUAAGCAUGACCCUUUUGGGAUCAAGUAAAACUCAAUCCAGGAAACCCAAUCUAAAACCAAGUAUAGCUCUGAUAUGUUCCACUAAGAUAGGCCUUUUUGUGGCUCUUCCUUAGCUAGUAUCAUUAAAUGGGUGAUCAACCAAAAUAAUGAAUAAAAAUAAAUAUUAUCAAAACAAAAUGCUACAGCAAAUAUGCAGCAACAUAUAAAUUCAGUCAAUAAACCAUAAGGAUUGUUUAUCACUCAACCGCAAAUAAAUUUAGUUAAUGAUUUGUA